rnacentral:lncRNA from 1 species
AGGAUUUCCCCUGCUUGCCAGCCUUUAAUCCUCCUCCCCUCUGGCCUUCCAGAAUCUAGAAACAAGUAGCCCUGUCAAAGAGCGGUAGAAAGACAAGCAAGAGAAAAGUAGGAAGAGGAGGAAAUGAAAAUGUCUCGUGAGUAAUGGUGCACGAUAAAGAUAAUAGGUCAAGGGUGAAGUCGGCUCUGAUUCACCUAUGUGUGGACACUCGAAGUUUAAAUAGCUAGCCUGGCAAUGAGAGGUCUGUAUGACUUCUUAGGAACAGCACAACCUACAGAAACCUUUCUCUGGAAAUGUGAACAGCAACCCUACUUAGUUCUGCGAGGAUUUCCGGGAGUUAGGUUUGAGGGAUCAGCAUGGGACUCUGUCACAUUAGUUUAAAUCCAUUUCACUGACGAAACAGUCGAACCAUGUACAAAUGUGCAACUGCCUUCUGAUGCCGUCAAGCCAGGCUGUGCUGCUCAUCAGCCUGCCAAGACUGCAAGCGACUUCCGUCACCCAGGGGCUGCUCUGAGCCAGAGAUUACCCCUUCAGCUCAGAAUCUGCUGGAAGAAUAAAGUGACUACCACCUUUACAGAUUGAAUGUCUUUCUGUAUCUUCCCUUUUAAAAAUAAUGUAUUUUUUUAAGGAGGGUGGAAGCAUGCCUUAAUUGUCCCUCCAGUGGAUAGUUUGGAUUUUAACAAAAUUGGUUAGUAAUUAAAAUCAAAUAUUCUCAUUAAAAAUCGUUUCUAUUUUGCAGAAAUUAAAUUUUCUGGUUUGGAAAUCCUGCUUUUGC